UACGUAGGGGGCGAGCGUUAUCCGGAUUUACUGGGCGUAAAGAGCGCGUAGGCGGUUCCGUAAGUUGGUUGUGAAAGUUCGAGGCUCAACCUCGAAACUGCGUCCAAUACUGCGGGGCUGGAGUGCAAGAGAGGCAAGUGGAAUUUGCAGUGUAGUAGUGAAAUGCGUAGAUAUUGCAAGGAACACCAGUGGCGAAGGCGGCUUGCUAGCUUGUAACUGACGCUGAGGCGCGAAAGCUAGGGGAGCGAACGGG
rnacentral:rRNA from 1 species